AGCCAUGCAUGUCUCAGUCCAUGCCGCAUUAAGGUGAAACCGCGAAUGGCUCAUUAAAUCAGUUAUGGUUCCUUGGAUCAUGCAAAAAUUUACUUGGAUAACUGUGGUAAUUCUAGAGCUAAUACAUGCAAACCAGAGUUCCUCUCAGAGAUGAGAGGAAUGCUUUUAUUAGAUCAAAACCAAUCGGUGGCGGGUAGCAUUUUGCCGCUCGUCCAUCGUUUGCUUUGAUGACUCUGAAUAACUUUCUGCCGAUCGCAUGGUCUUUGUACCGGCGACGCAUCUUUCAAAUGUCUGCCUUAUCAACUGACGAUGGUAGGUUCUGCGCCUACCAUGGUUGUAACGGGUAACGGGGAAUCAGGGUUCGAUUCCGGAGAGGGAGCCUGAGAAACGGCUACCACAUCCAAGGAAGGCAGCAGGCGCGCAAAUUACCCACUCCCGGCACGGGGAGGUAGUGACGAAAAAUAACGAUACGGGACUCAUCCGAGGCCCCGUAAUCGGAAUGAGUACACUUUAAAUCCUUUAACAAGGAUCAAUUGGAGGGCAAGUCUGGUGCCAGCAGCCGCGGUAAUUCCAGCUCCAAUAGCGUAUAUUAAAGUUGUUGCGGUUAAAAAGCUCGUAGUUGAAUCUGUGUGCCACACUGUCGGUACACCGCUCGUCGGUGCUUACUGACACGAUGGGGGACGUCCUACCGGUGGGCUUAGCUUUGCCUUGUGCUUGGCGGUCCAACUUGAAAUCCCAUCGCG
rnacentral:rRNA from 1 species